CCUACGGGAGGCAGCAGUGGGGGAUAUUGCACAAUGGGGGGAACCCUGAUGCAGCGACGCCGCGUGGGUGAAGAAGCGCCUCGGCGCGUAAAGCCCUGUCAGCAGGGAAGAAAAUGACGGUACCUGAAGAAGAAGCCCCGGCUAACUACGUGCCAGCAGCCGCGGUAAUACGUAGGGGGCAAGCGUUAUCCGGAUUUACUGGGUGUAAAGGGGGCGCAGACGGCGAUGCAAGCCAGGAGUGAAAGCCCGGGGCCCAACCCCGGGACUGCUCUUGGCACUGCGUGGCUGGAGUGCAGGAGGGGCAGGCGGAAUUACUGGUGUAGCGGUGAAAUGCGUAGAUAUCAGGAGGAACUCCGAUCGCGAAGGCAUUGUACCGGAGCAAGACUGACGCUGAGGCUCGAAAGUGCGGGUAUCAAACAGGAUUAGAUACCCUUGUAGUC
rnacentral:rRNA from 1 species